rnacentral:lncRNA from 1 species
UCGGGGAACGGAGUGACGGUCCAGAGGAUAGCAUUAGUAGUCCUCACUAUUCUGUGAAAUAGUGUAUUAAUAAUUGUAAUGAGGACUCCUUUUGAGUUUGUAUAAUCUCUAGUAGACAAUAAUUGUAUUCAAACUCACAAUUAUGUUUUGUCGUAUUAUACACGACAGUUGUAUUAGUAAGUUGUAUUUGAAUUUUGUACCAUGUAUCUGACG